AGUAGGGUAAGCUAAACAAGCUGUUGGGCUCAUAACCCAAAAAUAGACAACCCUCUUCCUACUA
rnacentral:tRNA from 2 species